GCUGUGCUUUAGCAGCACGUAAAUACUGGAGUUUAGGAUGGUCUCCAGUAUUGCUUUGCUGCUGUAGUGAAGC
rnacentral:pre_miRNA from 1 species